rnacentral:rRNA from 1 species
ACACAUUAAGUAUUCCGCCUGGGGAGUACGGUCGCAAGAUUAAAACUCAAAGGAAUUGACGGGGGCCCGCACAAGCAGCGGAGCAUGUGGUUUAAUUCGAAGCAACGCGAAGAACCUUACCUAGACUUGACAUCUCCUGAAUUACUCGUAACGGAGGAAGCCCUUCGGGGCAGGAAGACAGGUGGUGCAUGGUUGUCGUCAGCUCGUGUCGUGAGAUGUUGGGUUAAGUCCCGCAACGAGCGCAACCCUUAUUGUUAGUUGCUACCAUUAAGUUGAGCACUCUAGCGAGACUGCCGGGGUUAGCUCGGAGGAAGGUGGGGAUGACGUCAAAUCAUCAUGCCCCUUAUGUCUAGGGCUACACACGUGCUACAAUGGCGAGUACAACAAGAAGCUAAGCCGCGAGGUGGAGCAAAACUGUAAAACUCGUCCCA